GAACUAUUUUUUAUGUUUUGAAAACAUAGUUGGGGAGUUUUCCAUAGUUUUU
rnacentral:tRNA from 1 species